CUGAGACGUGAUGCGUAGCCGUUUGAGGCGAAGUAGAGUGAUCCUAUGCUGCCGAGAAAAGCCUCUAGUGAGUGCAUGCACGGCCCGUACCCCAAACCAACACAGGUGGUCAGGUAGAGAAUACCAAGGCGAUCGGGUGAACUGUGGUUAAGGAACUCGGCAAAAUGCCCCCGUAACUUCGGGAGAAGGGGGGCCAAACAUCCUGAAGCUCUUCUCGAGCUAGGGGUGGGUGGCCGCAGAGACCAGCGGAAAGCGACUGUUUACUAAAAACACAGGUCCAUGCGAAGUCGCAAGACGAUGUAUAUGGACUGACGCCUGCCCGGUGCUGGAACGUUAAGAGGACCGGUUAAUCCCUUUCGAGGGGUGAAGCUGAGAAUUUAAGCGCCAGUAAACGGCGGUGGUAACUAUAACCAUCCUAAGGUAGCGAAAUUCCUUGUCGGGUAAGUUCCGACCUGCACGAAUGGCGUAACGACUUUCCGGCUGUCUCAACCACAGGCCCGGCGAAAUUGCACUACGAGUAAAGAUGCUCGUUACGCGCGGCAGGACGGAAAGACCCCGGGACCUUUACUAUAGUUUGGUAUUGGUUUUCGGUUCGGCUUGUGUAGGAUAGGUGGGAGACUGUGAAGCUGCAACGCUAGUUGUGGUGGAGUCGUUGUUGAAAUACCACUCUGGUCGAAUUGGGAAUCUGAACCUCGGGCCAUGAUCUGGUUCAGGGACAGUGCCUGAUGGGUAGUUUAACUGGGGCGGUUGCCUCCUAAAGAGUAACGGAGGCGCCCAAAGGUUCCCUCAGCCUGGUUGGCAAUCAGGUGUUGAGUGCAAGUGCACAAGGGAGCUUGACUGUGAGACAGACAUGUCGAGCAGGGACGAAAGUCGGGACUAGUGAUCCGGCACCACCUGGUGGAAGGGGUGUCGCUCAACGGAUAAAAGGUACCCCGGGGAUAACAGGCUGAUCUUGCCCAAGAGUCCAUAUCGACGGCAUGGUUUGGCACCUCGAUGUCGGCUCGUCGCAUCCUGGGGCCGGAGUAGGUCCCAAGGGUUGGGCUGUUCGCCCAUUAAAGCGGCACGCGAGCUGGGUUUAGAACGUCGUGAGACAGUUCGGUCCCUAUCCGCCGCGCGCGUAGGAUACUUGAGGAAGGCUGUCCCUAGUACGAGAGGACCGGGACGGACGAACCUCUGGUGUGCCAGUUGUUCUGCCAAGGGCAUGGCUGGUUGGCCACGUUCGGAAGGGAUAACCGCUGAAGGCAUCUAAGCGGGAAGCCUGUUCCAAGAUGAGGUAUCCCACCCCUUUGUGGGUUAAGGCCCCCAACAGACCAUUGGGUUGAUAGGCCAGAAAUGGAAGCACAGUAAUGUGUUGUCGAGUUGACUGGUACUAAUAGGCCGAGGACUUGCCUAC
rnacentral:rRNA from 1 species